GCCUACGGGGCGCAGCAGUCGGGAAUAUUGCGCAAUGGAGGAAACUCUGACGCAGUGACGCCGCGUGCAGGAAGAAGGUUUUCGGAUUGUAAACUGCUUUAGACAGGGAAGAAAGAAAUGACGGUACCUGUAGAAUAAGCUCCGGCUAACUACGUGCCAGCAGCCGCGGUAAUACGUAGGUGGCAAGCGUUGUCCGGAUUUAUUGGGCGUAAAGCGAGUGCAGGCGGUUCAAUAAAGCUGUUGUGAAAGCCUUCGGCUCAAC
rnacentral:rRNA from 1 species